rnacentral:rRNA from 1 species
GACGAACGCUGGCGGCGUGCCUAAUACAUGCAAGUCGACCUUAGUGGGGACGGGUGCGUAACACGUGGGUAACCUCCCAUCUGAGGGCGAUAACUUCGGGAAACCGGAGCUAAACCGGAUAAUUAUAGAUGGAUGUGCGCUGCAUUAGCUAGUUGGUAAGGUAACGGCUUACCAAGGCAACGAUGCAUAGCUGAUCUGGGAGGGUGAUCCGCCACACUGGAACUGAGACACGGUCCAGACUCCUACGGGAGGCAGCAGUAGGGAAUCUUCCUCAAUGGGCGAAAGCCUGACGGAGCAACGCCGCGUGAGUGAUGAAGGUCUUCGGAUCGUAAAACUCUUUUAUUAGGGAAGCGGUACCUAAUCAGAAAGCCACGGCUAACUACGUGCCAGCAGCCGCGGUAAUAC